GAUGAACGCUGGCGGCGUGCCUAAUACAUGCAAGUCGAGCGAACAGACGAGGAGCUUGCUCCUCUGACGUUAGCGGCGGACGGGUGAGUAACACGUGGAUAACCUACCUAUAAGACUGUGAUAACUUCGGGAAACCGGAGCUAAUACCGGAUAAUAUAUUGAACCGCAUGGUUCAAUAGUGAAAGACGGUUUUGCUGUCACUUAUAGAUGGAUCCGCGCCGCAUUAGCUAGUUGGUAAGGUAACGGCUUACCAAGGCAACGAUGCGUAGCCGACCUGAGAGGGUGAUCGGCCACACUGGAACUGAGACACGGUCCAGACUCCUACGGGAGGCAGCAGUAGGGAAUCUUCCGCAAUGGGCGAAAGCCUGACGGAGCAACGCCGCGUGAGUGAUGAAGGUCUUCGGAUCGUAAAACUCUGUUAUUAGGGAAGAACAAAUGUGUAAGUAACUAUGCACGUCUUGACGGUACCUAAUCGGAAAGCCACGGCUAACUACGUG
rnacentral:rRNA from 1 species